AAAGAGAUCGCCCUAUUUUUUUUCUCUCCCAACCAGCCGCCGCCACAAAAGUUUCAAGCUUUUUGAAGUUCUGUUUCUCCGGCGGUUGGCCUCCGUGCCUCCGUCCGGAGAGGCUUCCUCUCCUUUAUUUCUUUCAUCGGCUUUCUUCUCUACUUGUUCAGUUUUAGUAGAGAAGAUGAGAGAUCUCGGACUUGAGUCAGACUUCCCGGUGGUGGUUGCAGCAGAUCUAGCCGGUGUGAACGUGUGGCGUCGUCUCUCCGGUGGUUUUGCUUCCUCUGCUGGUCUCAUCUCUUGUCCUCUUGCGGGAUGAGAUGGUGACGUCGCUUGCUCUCUCUGCUCUUUCUCGGUUGUUGAGGGUUUGAGGACUGCUCUCACUACCAGUCAGAUGCGGUGGAAAGGGCUUCCGGUUUCACCUCGGUUAGGUGGCAUCUGUCUCUGAUGCGUGUUGCUCUCCUUCAUGGUGCGGUUAGGACGGAAGUGUUGAGUUUGGGCUCCUCUGCGAGAGCUCUCUCCGGUGACGACUGGUGGUGGUGCUUCAACGGAGGUGGAUUUCAGAGAUCCGCCUUUGGUGUUUACUCUCAGAGAUUUCUCAGAUCUUUAAGUUCCGGUGUGGCUCCUUCCGUUUCUUGCGUUGUAUGUGUUUUUGGCUUGGUUUCACAGGUUCAGAAGUGGUUCAUCUUCAGCUUUGAUUUGUUCCAUUGAAGCGAUGGUGGUGACAGUGUGGAAUAGAGGCGGCGAUUUGGCUUUGGCGACUUUGUUGCAUCCGUGGGAGAUGAUUCUCGAGGCUACUAUAGCUUGAGGAUGUGGUCGGAGGCGGCUUCUCUGACUGCCCGUAGAAGCUCCCGUGCCGCCGGUUGUAACUUGUUCGUUUGAAGUUUUUUCGUUUUUGUGUUAGUCUUCGGAGAAGCUGUAGGCUCUACCCGUGUUCGAGGUUUUGAGGGCAGCCUUGGGUGGUGGUGCUCGUGGCAACGACGAUGAGGACUCUAGAUCUUUAGAUCUGUGGCAACAACACAAAUGUCCAAGCUUUUAAGUUUGGAAUCGGUGUUUCUACAUGUUGAAUCUUCUAGGCUGCUUACAUGUGUUCUUGUCGAUUAUGUCCAUCUUUUGGUUUCUGUUGUUACUUAGUCCUAGUUUUUAGAUUUUGGUUACUCUGUUCUCUUUGUUUCCUCUGUAAUUUCUGUCAAAAAUUUUAAAAUUGGUAUAAAAUUUAACAUUUUACCAAAAAAAAAAAAAAGGAUGGAUUAAUCAUCAAACAAAGCUAAUAAAAGCCCUUAAGAAAACCUAUGUCGGAUAGAAAUCGGAGCCAUAAGCCAAACAUUCCGGAAACAUUGAAACCACAAACUAGACCUUUGACUUAAAAGAAAUAAACUUUACAAAAUAGCACAUUUCAAUAGUGGGGCAUUAACACAUCUACCAGUGAAGCAAAGCGUCGAAAAAGAACCAUCAGAAGUAUUCAUUAAAGCCGGAAGCUAGCAUCAAAAUUUGGAAAACGACUUCAAAAGAGGGCCAACUAAACCAACCUAAUCAACACAUACCGUGACUGCAUCAAUAAUAACAACAUCAAAACCGGUGGCGAUGAAUAGAACCACUUACCGACACCGGAACCAAUACAAAAGGAUAAAACCUCGUCGUGUAAAACCACUUCUACCACUGAGAAGGAGACCAUCGAUGAAAAGAUGGAGCGACAGGAAACCGGAGAGAGACAACCGAAGUGUCAAAAACAAGACUCCUAAGCUGAUAGAGUGGAAAAUGAAAACUGAAGAUAUAAGCGCCACAGAUACACAACUAAAACCCAUGUUCGAAAACGCGACCGGAGCGGCCGAUUACACGCCGGUUAUAUGCUCG
rnacentral:lncRNA from 1 species